GGAGAGAUGGCUCAGCAGUUCAGAGCACUGGGUGUUCCAGGGGACCUGGGUUCAAUUCCCAGCAUCCA
rnacentral:tRNA from 1 species